GACGUAGGAUGCAAGCGUUGUCCGGAAUUAUUGGGCGUAAAGAGUUCGUAGGUGGUUAUCUAAGUCUGGUGUUAAAGCCCGAAGCUCAACUUCGGCAUGGCAUUGGAAACUGGAUGACUAGAGUGUGGCAGAGGUAUCGGGAAUUCCUGGUGUAGCGGUGAAAUGCGUAGAUAUCAGGAGGAACACCGGCGGCGAAAGCGCGAUACUGGGCCAUAACUGACGCUGAGGAACGAAAGCCAGGGGAGCGAACGGG
rnacentral:rRNA from 1 species